UACGUAGGGGGCAAGCGUUGUCCGGAUUUAUUGGGCGUAAAGAGCGCGCAGGCGGUAUGACAAGUCAGAUGUGAAAGAGGCCGGCUUAACCGGCAAGGGUCAUUUGAAACUGUCAGACUAGAGUGCAGCAGAGGAUAGUGGAAUUCCCGGUGUAGUGGUGAAAUGCGUAGAUAUCGGGAGGAACACCAGUGGCGAAGGCGACUAUCUGGGCUGCAACUGACGCUGAGGCGCGAAGGCUAGGGGAGCGAACGGG
rnacentral:rRNA from 1 species